rnacentral:rRNA from 1 species
UGAAUAUGGGGGGACCAUCCUCCAAGGCUAAAUACUCCUGACUGACCGAUAGUGAACCAGUACCGUGAGGGAAAGGCGAAAAGAACCCCGGCGAGGGGAGUGAAAAAGAACCUGAAACCGUGUACGUACAAGCAGUGGGAGCACGCUUAGGCGUGUGACUGCGUACCUUUUGUAUAAUGGGUCAGCGACUUAUAUUCUGUAGCAAGGUUAACCGAAUAGGGGAGCCGAAGGGAAACCGAGUCUUAACUGGGCGUUAAGUUGCAGGGUAUAGACCCGAAACCCGGUGAUCUAGCCAUGGGCAGGUUGAAGGUUGGGUAACACUAACUGGAGGACCGAACCGACUAAUGUUGAAAAAUUAGCGGAUGACUUGUGGCUGGGGGUGAAAGGCCAAUCAAACCGGGAGAUAGCUGGUUCUCCCCGAAAGCUAUUUAGGUAGCGCCUCGUGAAUUCAUCUCCGGGGGUAGAGCACUGUUUCGGCAAGGGGGUCAUCCCGA